rnacentral:ncRNA from 1 species
AAGUACCUUAUGUUAGAAGGAGUAAAAGGGAAUCCGGUGAGAAUCCGGAACAAUGCCCGUUGCUGUAUGAGGGGAGCUUUCUCUGAAAAGGCCACUGUGCGGAUGCAUGGGAAGGGAGAGAAAAGCGCGGAUCCUUAAGUCAGAAUACCUGCUUUUAGA